rnacentral:lncRNA from 11 species
CCUCAAUCUAGUCCUAUCAUCUAUCUGACUACAUCUAGACUUGAGUGGUCCAGGGUGAUUCCCAACUCCUACUCUAGUCUUCCUCCCCUGGGCUGUCUUCCCAUUCCUUCCCUUUUGGCCCCACACCCAUGAGGGAAGGGGGCAGCCCCAAUUUCACUCCUCUUCUCCCUUGUCUUUUACAGGACUCCGAAGCGGCAACGCUGGCUGACAUCCCCAGCCUGGAGGAUGAGGUGUGGGACCCUCUCCCCAGUACAAGCAGCUCCGUAGGACCCGGCGAAGAUGAAGAUCCUGCCCUGCACCCGAGGAGAUGGUCCUCCCUGGACCCAGAACAGGUAAAGCUUAGAGUUCCUCCUGGCGAGGCCUGCAGCCACCACCAAGGAGGCAUCGCCCAACGCCUUUCUCAGGAUGCCCCAUCGACCUUCUAGAUGGCAGGUUUGUCGAGAGAUGUCCAGCCUUCAGGUAGGCUGUUCUUCUCAACUCCUGCCAUUCCCCAGUGGUCUCUUUGGCCACUGGAAAGGUAUGUAGGGACCCCAAUGCCCAGUUCCUUCCAGCAAGCAUCACACACGCAUUCA